AGUCGGCCUGCGCGGAAGAUGUAACGGGGCUAAACCAUGCACCGAAGCUGCGGCAGCGCAUUUAUGUGCUGGGUAGGGGAGCGUUGUGUAAGCCGUUGAAGGUGGAUUGAGAAGUCUGCUGGAGGUAUCACAAGUGCGAAUGCUGACAUGAGUAACGAUAAUGGGGGUGAAAAACCCCCACGCCGGAAGACCAAGGGUUCCUAUCCCAUGCUAAUCAGGGUAGGGUGAGUCGGCCCCUAAGGCGAGGCUGAAAAGCGUAGUCGAUGGGAAACGGGUUAAUAUUCCCGUACUGCUUUAUACUGCGAUGGGGUGACGGAGAAGGCUAGGCAAGCGCGGCGUUGGUAGUCCGCGUGAAAGUGAGUAGGUUGAGAGUUUAGGCAAAUCCGGACUCUUAAGACUGAGACACGAGACGAGACUCUACGGAGUUGAAGUUGUUGAUGCCCUGCUUCCAGGAAAAACCUCUAAGCAUCAGGUAUAAAGAACCGUACCCGAAACCGACACAGGUGGUCAGGUAGAGAAUACUAAGGCGCUUGAGAGAACUCGGGUGAAGGAACUAGGCAAAAUAGUACCGUAACUUCGGGAGAAGGUACGCCCUUAUUUGUGAAGGCCUUGCGCUGUAAGCAGAUGAGGGUCGCAGUGACCAGGUGGCUGGGACUGUUUAUUAAAAACACAGCACUCUGCAAACUCGAAAGAGGACGUAUAGGGUGUGACACCUGCCCGGUGCCGGAAGGUUAAUUGAUGGGGUUAGCUUCGGCGAAGCUCUUGAUCGAAGCCCCGGUAAACGGCGGCCGUAACUAUAACGGUCCUAAGGUAGCGAAAUUCCUUGUCGGGUAAGUUCCGACCUGCACGAAUGGUGUAACCAUGGCCACGCUGUCUCCACCCGAGACUCAGUGAAAUUGAAAUCGCUGUGAAGAUGCAGUGUACCCGCGGCUAGACGGAAAGACCCCGUGAACCUUUACUACAGCUUGGCACUGAACAUUGAACCUACAUGUGUAGGAUAGGUGGGAGGCUUAGAAGCAUUGUCGCUAGAUGAUGUGGAGCCGUCCUUGAAAUACCACCCUUGUAUGUUUGAUGUUCUAACGUAGGUCCCUUAUCGGGAUUGCGGACAGUGCCUGGUGGGUAGUUUGACUGGGGCGGUCUCCUCCCAAAGAGUAACGGAGGAGCACGAAGGUUGGCUAAGUACGGUCGGACAUCGUACGGUUAGUG
rnacentral:rRNA from 1 species